rnacentral:rRNA from 2 species
AUCUAAAAUGACUCUCGGCAACGGAUAUCUCGGCUCUUGCAUCGAUGAAGAACGUAGCGAAAUGCGAUACUUGGUGUGAAUUGCAGAAUCCCGUGAACCAUCGAGUCUUUGAACGCAAGUUGCGCCCAAAGCCAUUAGGCUGAGGGCACGCCUGCCUGGGUGUCACAC